rnacentral:rRNA from 1 species
GUAAGCUACUAAGAGCGAAUGGUGGAUGCCUUGACUGGUAAAGGCGAUGAAGGACGUACUAGACUGCGAUAAGCUAGGUGGAGCUGUCAAGAAGCUUUGAUGCCUAGAUUUCCGAAUGGGGCAACCCAAUGUAUAGAGAUAUACAUUACCAUAAUGGAGCGAACGAGGGGAAUUGAAACAUCUUAGUACCCUCAGGAAAAGAAAUCAAAAGAGAUUGCGUCAGUAGCGGCGAGCGAAAGCGCAAGAGGGCAAACCCAGUGCUUGCACUGGGGGUUGUAGGACUGCAAUGUGCAAUAGGAAAGGUUAGCAGAACACUCUGGAAAGUGUAGCCAUAGAGGGUGAUAGUCCCGUAUGCGAAAACCUAACCUUAGCUAGCAGUAUCCUGAGUAGGGCGGAACACGAGAAAUUCUGUCUGAAGCUGGGUAGACCACUAUCCAACCCUAAAUACUACUACCAGAUCGAUAGCGAACAAGUACCGUGAGGGAAAGGUGAAAAGAACGGCGGUGAGCCGAGUGAAAUAGAACCUGAAACCAUUUGCUUACAAUCAUUCAGAGCCCUAUGGAGCAAUCCAGGGUGAUGGACUGCCUUUUGCAUAAUGAGCCUGCGAGUUGUGGUGUCUGGCAAGGUUAAGCUAACGCGAAGCCGUAGCGAAAGCGAGUCUGAAUAGGGCGCUUAGUCAGAUGCUGCAGACCCGAAACGAAGUGAUCUAUCCAUGAGCAGGUUGAAGCUAGUGUAAGAACUAGUGGAGGACCGAACCCGCUAGCGUUGAAAAGCUAUGGGAUGACUUGUGGAUAGGGGUGAAAGGCCAAUCAAACUUCGUGAUAGCUGGUUCUCUCCGAAAUAUAUUUAGGUAUAGCGUUGUGUCGUAAUAUAAGGGGGUAGAGCACUGAAUGGGCUAGGGCAUACACCAAUGUACCAAACCCUAUCAAACUCCGAAUACCUUAUAUGUAAUCACAGCAGUCAGGCGGCGAGUGAUAAAAUCCGUCGUCAAGAGGGAAACAACCCAGACUACCCGCUAAGGUCCCCAAAUCUUACUUAAGUGGAAAACGAUGUGAAGUUACUUAAACAACCAGGAGGUUGGCUUAGAAGCAGCCAUCCUUUAAAGAAAGCGUAAUAGCUCACUGGUCUAGUGAUUUUGCGCGGAAAAUAUAACGGGGCUAAAGUAAGUACCGAAGCGGUAGGCUUGUGCUUAGUUAAAUUCUUUGAUAUUUUAUCAUUUAGAUUUAAAACUAACGAUAGUGGUUCUUGCCUUAGCAAGAAAGUUUUAAAAUAUUUUAGGAUAAAGAAUUUUACUAAGCACAAGCGGUAGGAGAGCGUUCUAUUUGCGUCGAAGGUAUACCGGUAAGGAGUGCUGGAGCGGAUAGAAGUGAGCAUGCAGGCAUGAGUAGCGAUAAUUAAUGUGAGAAUCAUUAACGCCGUAAACCCAAGGUUUCCUACGCGAUGCUCGUCAUCGUAGGGUUAGUCGGGUCCUAAGCUGAGUCCGAAAGGGGUAGGCGAUGGAAAAUAGGUUAAUAUUCCUAUACCAACAUUAGUGUGCGAUGGAAGGACGCUUAGGGCUAAGGGGGCUAGCGGAUGGAAGUGCUAGUCUAAGGUUGUAGGAGCUUAUACAGGCAAAUCCGUAUAAGAAUACUCCGAGAGCUGAAAGGCUUUUUGAAGUCUUCGGAUGGAUAGAAGAACCCCUGAUGCCGUCGAGCCAAGAAAAGUUUCUAAGUUUAGCUAAUGUUGCCCGUACCGUAAACCGACACAGGUGGGUGGGAUGAGUAUUCUAAGGCGCGUGGAAGAACUCUCUUUAAGGAACUCUGCAAAAUAGCACCGUAUCUUCGGUAUAAGGUGUGCCUCCCUUUGUAUUAGAAUUUACUUCGAAAGCAAAGAAGGUUACAACAAAGAGUCCCUCCCGACUGUUUACCAAAAACACAGCACUCUGCUAACUCGCAAGAGGAUGUAUAGGGUGUGACGCCUGCCCGGUGCUCGAAGGUUAAUUGAUGGGGUUAGCAUUAGCGAAGCUCUUGAUCGAAGCCCGAGUAAACGGCGGCCGUAACUAUAACGGUCCUAAGGUAGCGAAAUUCCUUGUCGGUUAAAUACCGACCUGCAUGAAUGGCGUAACGAGAUGGGAGCUGUCUCAAAGAGGGAUCCAGUGAAAUUGUAGUGGAGGUGAAAAUUCCUCCUACCCGCGGCAAGACGGAAAGACCCCGUGGACCUUUACUACAGCUUGACACUGCUACUUGGAUAAGAAUGUGCAGGAUAGGUGGGAGGCUUUGAGUAUAUGACGCCAGUUGUAUAUGAGCCAUUGUUGAGAUACCACUCUUUCUUAUUUGGGUAGCUAACCAGCUUGAGUUAUCCUCAAGUGGGACAAUGUCUGGUGGGUAGUUUGACUGGGGCGGUCGCCUCCCAAAUAAUAACGGAGGCUUACAAAGGUUGGCUCAAAACGGUUGGAAAUCGUUUGUAGAGUAUAAAGGUAUAAGCCAGCUUAACUGCAAGACAUACAAGUCAAGCAGGGACGAAAGUCGGUCUUAGUGAUCCGGUGGUUCUGUGUGGAAGGGCCAUCGCUCAAAGGAUAAAAGGUACCCCGGGGAUAACAGGCUGAUCUCCCCCAAGAGCUCACAUCGACGGGGAGGUUUGGCACCUCGAUGUCGGCUCAUCGCAUCCUGGGGCUGGAGCAGGUCCCAAGGGUAUGGCUGUUCGCCAUUUAAAGCGGUACGCGAGCUGGGUUCAGAACGUCGUGAGACAGUUCGGUCCCUAUCUGCCGUGGGCGUAAGAAGAUUGAAGAGAUUUGACCCUAGUACGAGAGGACCGGGUUGAACAAACCACUGGUGUAGCUGUUGUUCUGCCAAGAGCAUCGCAGCGUAGCUAAGUUUGGAAAGGAUAAACGCUGAAAGCAUCUAAGCGUGAAGCCAACUCUAAGAUGAAUCUUCUCUAAGCUCUCUAGAAGACGACUAGUUUGAUAGGCUGGGUGUGUAAUAGAUGAAAGUCUUUUAGCUGACCAGUACUAAUAGAGCGUUUGGCUUACUUUUAUAAAGCAU